CAGUCGCGCGGUAAUACGAGGGGCGCAAGCGUUAUUCGGAUUGAUUGGGUGUAAAGGGUGUGCAGACGGCUUAUUAAGUCACUUGUUAAAUUCUUCGGCCUAACUGAAGGUCUGCAAGUGAUACUGAUGAGCUAGAGGGUGGAAGAGAGAAGUGGAAUUCUCGGAGUAGCGGCAAAAUGCGUAGAUCUCGAGAGGAACACCAAUGGCGAAGGCAGCUUCUUGGUCCAUUCCUGACGUUCAUACACGAAAGCGUGGGGAGCAAACAGGAUUAGAUACCCCCGUAGUCCCUGUCUCUUAUACC
rnacentral:rRNA from 1 species